rnacentral:rRNA from 1 species
GAUGAACGCUGGCGGCGUGCUUAACACAUGCAAGUCGAACGGGAUCCAAGGAGCGUUUUUCGUUUUUUGGUGAGAGUGGCGAACGGGUGAGUAACACGUGAGUCACCUGUCCUUUUCUUAGGGAUAAGCUCCUGAAGGGGUGUUUAAUACCUUAUGUUCUGUCUGCCUCGCUUGGGGUGGGUGGGAAAGAUUUUUUCGGUGAAGGGUGGGCUCGCGGUCUAUCAGCUUGUUGGUGGGGUGAUGGCUUACCAAGGGUUUGACGGGUAGCCGGCCUGAGAGGGUGGUGGGACACAGUGCGGCUGAGAUACGGCUCAGACUCGUGCGAGAGGCAGCAGUGGGGGAUAUGGCACAAUGGGUGCAAGCCUGAUGCAGCGACGCCGCGUGGGGGAUGAAGGCCUUAGGGUUGUAAACUUCUUUUGAACUGAACAAGGCGCAUCUGUGGGGUGUGUGGAGUGAAGGGGUUGAUAAGCGCCGGCUAACUACGUG